rnacentral:lncRNA from 1 species
UGAUUUUCAAUUUUUUUAAUCUUGGAAGGAAUGUACAUUUUCUUUAGAAACACAUUAUUAUUCAUUUCAAGGGGUCCAUUUUCAUUUCAAAAACAUCCAAUGGCAUUACACAAUGUCACGAAUCAAAUUACAUAAAAAUUACAUGUUUUGACAUAGAGUUGACUUUUAGUCAACUAUUGACUUUUUGGUCAAACAGUUGACCAAAGUCAACUACCUAUCCUAAAUCCUAUCCUAAUUCUUCUUCACUCACAAGUUAUCAUAUUUUUGUGAGUCUUUAAAGCCUUCAAGUUCUUCAUUAUUGUUGAUGUUGAUCCAUGUCUUUAGGACCAAAAUACCAUGCCAAAGUCUUGUUCAUCCUACCAUGUACCAUCCCAAUGAACUCAUAUAAAAAAUGCACAAUUAGAACUCAUACAAGCAUAUCCAUGACAUUUACACAUUCAUGCAUACACACACAUUCAAGCCUAGCAAGUCAUUUUCAAUCUCCUAAUAACUAACCUUCCAAUUACUAAUCCAAACUAACUCACCAAAAUAGAUUUCAAAAUUGACAGUCCUAACAUACUAACUAACAUAACAUCUCAACAUUCAACAAGUUCUAUAAACCUUUCAUUUAACUUCUACAAAUUUCACAAUCAAUUAAAAUUAUCUAAAUUAACUCACUAAUAAUCUAGGAAUCACUAACGGUUCAAUAUCAUUAACAAACCAAUUCAAACCUAAUGCCAUACUAGUUCAAAGUAAUUCACAACCAAGCAUCAACAAACAUCCACCUACAUUUCCUCUUGAUUGAGUUCUAAUCACUCAUUGGUUUCCAACUAACUUAACAACAUUUCACAACAUUCCAUUAAGUAACUUUCGCGACAUUCACUAAUUAUUUCAGAUUAGCAUCAAACUAACUAACUAACCGAAGAGUUAACAUAGUUAGUACUUGCAACUUAUUUUCUCUUGGAUUCAACUAACAUUAACAGUUCCCUAACCAUAACAAACUCUACCAAUAAAAUUUCCUUAAGCAGUUACAUGAACCCCCUAUAUAAUCUCAUAGUCUCUUCAAACUUCUUCAACCUUGAUCACAUUUUACAACUUCACUCUCAUCAUUCUUUCUCUAUCUUAAUUCAUCUUCUUCAAUCACCUCACUACAAGGCCCGAUUCCAUUAUAAUUGAGCAAGCUUCACAUUGAAGCUUGUUGCAACUGAGCUUAGACUGCACUCUAUUACACUUUUUACACCUAACAUCAUCAACAACAACAUGAAUUUUGACCCUACAAGCUAAAUUCAAGAAGAAGAAGAAGAAGAAGAAGAGAUUGCUGCAAAAAUGAGUAAGGAUUUGAAGUAUUACUUGAAUAUUUCUAGUCUUAUUUAUUCUCUAGCUUCAUCAUCACCACCUUCAAUGAACACCAAGGCAGCCUCCUCCUUGUAGGUAACUCCAAUUUUUCAUUUUCUUGCUUCAAUUUUGUUGCCACAAUGUAGUAUUGAAGUAGAUGAACCAAACCCCUAAGGGUUGAGUUCGAUUUAGACAUCCAUCUCCAUUUAAUUUCAUGUUAAGUAUUAGGGUUCUGCAACUAAUUUAGGUGAUUUGGGGAGAUUGGGGAAAAUUCGAUGAAACGGGUAUGAGAAACAAAGAUAGGAGGUUAAGAGGAUCACUCUUUUGGUGGUUUAGGGUUCAUCUAAAAUGAUCCGCCACCUCCGACGCGACAGAGUGUUUUCUGGUGGGAGGAAUACUUGAGAGAGGAAAAGGUUAACAAGCUAAAUUGAAUGAGGUUUUUGAUCACCACUCUUCCUUUGCCCUUGCACAUUGUGUCUAACCCCAACACCAAGCCCG